rnacentral:lncRNA from 1 species
UGCUGCAUAAUUGUAUGUAUCAAUUAUGCCUUGACAAUAGCAUCUCUUAAUUCCGUUGAUCUAUCAUGUUUUACCAUUUUCUCCAAACCAAAAAUCUAAUUCCUCUCAAAUUCUCCCAAACGCUCUCAAGCUUUUGGAGGCACAUUCUCAUAUCCCAACAGAGACGACAACAGAUCGGAGGUAAUUUUUACAUUUGAAUAAUUGUUUAGUUACUUCAAAUUCGAAUAUGAAGAAAAAAAAACUUGUUUGGCAGAGCUCGCGUGGUUCUAUACGAACUCACUGGGACUGAGUUCGCGUAGAACCACGCGAGCUCGUGAGUUUUAGUAUUUUUUUUUUUAAAUUGAUUUAUUGCAUAUUUUUUGGAGAAAAAAAAACGCAUGAGUUCGUGAGAUUCAAGGCGAACUGGUUGGUUGCGUUCGCGUAAAACAACGCAAACUCGAUUUACCGAGUUCGCUGAACCACACGAACUCAUGCGUUGUUCGCCCGUUUUCACACGAACUCGGAAAAUAAUUUUUUCUUUUUGCUUUUUUUUGGCAAUACUAAUGUAUUUUUCUGCUAAAUUAUAGAUGGCAGGAGGUAGAGGAAAAAUUUUAAUGAGUCAGACUGCGGAAAAGGUAAGAGUUUGAUGAAAGCUUUGGGUGGGAAGUCGAACAAUUCGGAUAAUUCGGAUUGCAUAAACGUUCUUGCAUCCGAUCGUAGAAGAAAAGCGAUGGCGAGAGAAAAAGCAAGAGCAAUAGAAGAUGUGAGAGCGAGAGAAUAAGAUUUUGCAACUGGAGCCGAGCAUUCUCUACCUAUUGCCGAUGAUCUUCAAGUCGGCUAUGUUUGUACUCCAUUGCAGAAUGCGUACGACAAUGACUAAGAGAUGGUGGAUAAUGUGGUGGAUGACGGCGGCGAGGAUGGUGAGG